GCUCCGAUCGGGCUGUUUAUAACCACUUGAACCUGGUGAAAAACAACGACAACUCCAAGAUCCGGCCUUCUCGUUCUCGAUCAGUCACAUUGGUGAAACUGGAUGUGCUGCUAUAUGCCAUUCUAGACGUGAACGAAAAGGAACAGCAAUUUGUUUCCUACAUUUGGGUUUUUUCGAGGUGGUACGACUAUGACAUAAAUUGGAACCCUCAAAAUUUCUGCGAUAUUUGGAAGAUUUAUCCCCCUUCGGAUGUAUUGUGGACUCCAGAUCUAACAAUUGAAGAGAUGUGAGUUUUAAUGUGCAUACUCUCAUCCACAACCAUCCACACAU